UACAGAGGUCUCAAGCGUUGUUCGGAUUCAUUGGGCGUAAAGGGCGCGUAGGCGGCGGGGUAAGUCGGGUGUGAAAUCUCAGAGCUCAACUCUGAAACUGCACUCGAUACUGCUCUGCUUGAGGACUGGAGAGGAGACUGGAAUUCAUGGUGUAGCAGUGAAAUGCGUAGAGAUCAUGGGGAAGACCAGUGGCGAAGGCGGGUCUCUGGACAGUUCCUGACACUGAGGCACGAAGGCCAGGGGAGCAAACGGG
rnacentral:rRNA from 1 species